ACAAAACUCUAUAAUUAUGAGUCUACUUUACAGAUUGAAAUUCUAUCUCUCGACUAAUAUUACUUACUGUGAAACAUUAUCUCCACCAACAACAAAAAUAAAACAGGUAAAACCACAUCAACAAAGAGAGAUUGAGCACAGUUGCCUUUUCUUUAUUUUGAGACUUUAUUUCAGCAAAUCUUGUUCUCUUAAUAUUCCUCAAACUCGCCUCAUUCUCCACUAAGAAGAGCAACAACAACCCAAGAAUGCUAUUACCCACCAUCGCCACCACCUCCGGCACGGCAUAGAAUGUCUCCGUUUUCCACAUCUUUAGCAUCAAAUCUUAGAGAAUCGAGGAAGAUUAAUAGGAAAAGACGAAGAGGAAAUGAGGUGAAAAUAGAAAAGCAGCUCAUCAAUCAAGAAUAUAAAAUAUGAAAAAAGAAAGUCCUCCUUUUUGCGGUCUAGUCAUUACCCAUGCCUUCAGUGGCCCUUACAAUUGAGUGGUUACCGGAUUGAAGAGAAUUACUACAACUAGGGAUGAUUCUCGGUGCUCAGGCCUUUGAAAAUGAGCUUAAUUAUCUCAGACUUGCCCAAGUUUAGCUUCUCCUUGAUGACGCCGAGAACGAUGCUUUCCACUAUGAUGAUGAUCGCUUUAAUUUUUUGGAGGAUCACAGUUUUGUUCACUGUGUGCCUGUUCUUCUUCUUUAUCUCUUCUUUUUUUUUUUUUUUUUUUUUUUAUAUUUGUCUUUCAAUUUUUUCUCCUUUCUUGAAAAGCCUAAUCCUUAGAAUCAUGGUGAUUGCCCCACCAUAGACACCAAGCUUCUCAGAUCGUUAAGUGAGAGAACAAAUAUCGAAGGGAAAAAAAAAAAAAAGGAGAAUAAAAAUUUAAUCCUUAUAAACGGUAAUUUUGUACUUUGAUCUCAUUAGGGGUAGCAUUUGCCAUUUAAAAAUAUAUCUCUCUACUCUCUUCUGCCUUUUAACGGGAAAAAGCGCAUUUGGACGAAAUGAUUAUUUCACCUGAUGCAAUCAAAUUUGGGAACAAGUUGAAUAAUUUUAUAAAACUUCAUGGACGAAAAAAAUAUUUUCCCAUAAAUUAAAGAAAUGGUAAGACCAGAUUGUUUCCUAUCUAUAAUCGCGGUGGUAUAUAAUACUCCACAACAAUAAUGAUAUAUUUGGUUGACUAACAAAAGAAAAUAAAAAAAUAAUGCUCCAUUUGCUAACCUUUGAUUGCAUAUUUGGUUCUGUUGCUUGAAAAAGACGUCGCAAAACAAUCCUUUUGAGUGAAAGCUGGCCUUUGCUUGCUCUAUGAUUAUGAAUUGUAAUAAUAAUAUUAUUUCUUUU
rnacentral:lncRNA from 1 species